rnacentral:lncRNA from 1 species
GACAAGAUAUGGGACUUCCCGCGCUAAGUUGUUCCAAUCUCUGUACUUAAGCUUAAGUAACCGAACUCGAAAGUGCUGCUAUGAGCUAGAUUUGCGCGUACAAGGGUAAAGAAGCGAGCAAGGCUACCUUUCCGCUGGAAAUCCUAUACCUGAGUGCUAUUUGAUCAGAGUGAGUUGUAAUUGAGCUUGAUUUACUUGCUCUUCUAUUUUAAUUUUUUUAAAAGUAUGUGGGUGACUCAUCGUC